rnacentral:rRNA from 1 species
GGGUUGUGAGGUUAAGCGACUAAGCGUACACGGUGGAUGCCCUGGCAGUCAGAGGCGAUGAAGGACGUGCUAAUCUGCGAUAAGCGUCGGUAAGGUGAUAUGAACCGUUAUAACCGGCGAUUUCCGAAUGGGGAAACCCAGUGUGUUUCGACACACUAUCAUUAACUGAAUCCAUAGGUUAAUGAGGCGAACCGGGGGAACUGAAACAUCUAAGUACCCCGAGGAAAAGAAAUCAACCGAGAUUCCCCCAGUAGCGGCGAGCGAACGGGGAGCAGCCCAGAGCCUGAAUCAGUGUGUGUGUUAGUGGAAGCGUCUGGAAAGGCGUGCGAUACAGGGUGACAGCCCCGUACACAAAAAUGCACAUAUUGUGAGCUCGAUGAGUAGGGCGGGACACGUGGUAUCCUGUCUGAAUAUGGGGGGACCAUCCUCCAAGGCUAAAUACUCCUGACUGACCGAUAGUGAACCAGUACCGUGAGGGAAAGGCGAAAAGAACCCCGGCGAGGGGAGUGAAAAAGAACCUGAAACCGUGUACGUACAAGCAGUGGGAGCACGCUUAGGCGUGUGACUGCGUACCUUUUGUAUAAUGGGUCAGCGACUUAUAUUCUGUAGCAAGGUUAACCGAAUAGGGGAGCCGAAGGGAAACCGAGUCUUAACUGGGCGUUAAGUUGCAGGGUAUAGACCCGAAACCCGGUGAUCUAGCCAUGGGCAGGUUGAAGGUUGGGUAACACUAACUGGAGGACCGAACCGACUAAUGUUGAAAAAUUAGCGGAUGACUUGUGGCUGGGGGUGAAAGGCCAAUCAAACCGGGAGAUAGCUGGUUCUCCCCGAAAGCUAUUUAGGUAGCGCCUCGUGAAUUCAUCUCCGGGGGUAGAGCACUGUUUCGGCAAGGGGGUCAUCCCGACUUACCAACCCGAUGCAAACUGCGAAUACCGGAGAAUGUUAUCACGGGAGACACACGGCGGGUGCUAACGUCCGUCGUGAAGAGGGAAACAACCCAGACCGCCAGCUAAGGUCCCAAAGUCAUGGUUAAGUGGGAAACGAUGUGGGAAGGCCCAGACAGCCAGGAUGUUGGCUUAGAAGCAGCCAUCAUUUAAAGAAAGCGUAAUAGCUCACUGGUCGAGUCGGCCUGCGCGGAAGAUGUAACGGGGCUAAACCAUGCACCGAAGCUGCGGCAGCGAC